rnacentral:pre_miRNA from 2 species
UCUGCUCACAGACGAUGAGCCAAUGCGGCAUGUAAAAGGCUGACAUUCUAUGUCUUUACGUGCCACAUUGUCUCCUUGUCUGCUGUGUUUA